rnacentral:rRNA from 1 species
UUGGAGGGCAAGUCUGGUGCCAGCAGCCGCGGUAAUUCCAGCUCCAAUAGCGUAUAUUAAAGUUGUUGCAGUUAAAAAGCUCGUAGUUGAAUUUCGGGGUUCAUACGUUGGUCGGGCUUUUUGGUCUGUACUAGCGUAAUGGAUUCCUACCUUCUGAAUAACCGGCAUGUCAUUAAUUUGGUGCGCCGGGGAAGCAGGACUGUUACCUUGAAAAAAUUAGAGUGCUUAAAGCAGGCUUAUGCCUGAAUACAUUAGCAUGGAAUAAUGAAAUAGGACGGCAUGGUUCUAUUUUGUUGGUUUCUAGGAUCACCGUAAUGAUUAAUAGGGAUAGUCGGGGGCAUUAGUAUUCAAUUGUCAGAGGUGAAAUUCUUGGAUUUAUUGAAGACUAACUACUGCGAAAGCAUUUGCCAAGGAUGUUUUCAUUAAUCAAGAACGAAAGUUAGGGGAUCGAAGACGAUCAGAUACCGUCGUGGUCUUAACCAUAAACUAUGCCGACUAGGGAUCGGAUGAUGUUAAUUUUUUAAUGACUCAUUCGGCGCCUUACGGGAAAC